CAGGGUAGGAGCUACUGUGAUCCCACCGGAACUGCCUCCUGGGUUUGAUGGGGCCAGAAGCCCCUUUGGAGGAACGCGUGCUGUGGCAGUUGUGUUGCACAGGGAGCUCCUGAAAGGCACCUUCUUUCUUCUCUUGGACAUGACGUUGGAGAUCUGAAAUACAGUAACCAUUUUGCCACCAGGAAGGGACAUCAUUGGUCUGCAAGGGGUCUUGUGUAAAGCAGAAAGAACAGCUUAGUGAGACAAACACAACUGGGUCCUUGGUGAUUAACUUGAGCCACUGGAUGAAGCCUCGCUUCAGAUUAUUGGAGGCAGCGUGGACAGUAAGUUUAGAAACAAAAACAUCUGCAUUCAGAUCCUGGCUAUGACACCUGCUAACCACCCUCGGGUAAGUCACAGCUUCCCGGAGCCUCGGGCUCCUAAUAUGUAAUAAAUCAGGGUAACAAUGACCACGGUGAGGAGUUGAGAGAGCGCAUAGAGCACAUUUGGCUUUGGAUAAAUAUUUAUUCCUUCUCUUCCACUGUGAUGAAAACCACGUGUUGUGCUUCACAGAAAGUUCCUCCCCGGUCAGAAAGCCCUGGCUGAGGUGGCCUCUCUC